CAUUAAUAACCAAAACAUCAAAAAAUCCACAAAGGAAGAGAAAGAAGUGUAGAACCUUGUGUGAACAUACACUGGAGGAACAAAAGGGCACAAAAUCCACAAAGGAAGAGAAAGAAGUGUAGAACCUUGUGUGAACAUACACUGGAGGAACAAAAGGGCACAGAAAAGCAUGAGGAAGAUCGCUGCCAUCUCUCUCUCUAUCCUCCCUCUGAAAUGCUUUGGCAGGCCUUAUUGUUAGGGUGUUGUUUCUAUAGGGUUGUAAUAUUAAAGAAUCCAAUUAAGGCGUAUCUCUAAAUUUUAUCAUAAUAUGUAAAUAAUACGUAAUUUUGGUAUAUAUUUUUUUUAGAAUUAUCUAAAUAUUUAUUUUUAUUUCUAAAAAUAAAAGGUUACCUGUCGUGGUCCUAAAUUAAGGCUUCACUAAGCAAAAUAUGCUCCUAUAGACUGAUCCUAAUUUUGAUUUCUUCUUUUCUGAACCAGAGCAUUAAUAACCAAAAAAAAUCCACUAAGGAAGAAAAAGAAGUGAAGAACCUUGUGUGAACAUGCACUGGAGCACCAGAAGGG
rnacentral:lncRNA from 1 species